rnacentral:rRNA from 1 species
AGCGAACGUUAGCGGCGCGCCUAACACAUGCAAGUCGCACGAGAAAGGGAGCAAUCCCCGGUACAGUGGCGCACGGGUGAGUAACACGUAGAUGACCUUCCCUGGAGUGGUGGAUAACCUGCCGAAAGGCGGGCUAAUACAGCAUGGGACCACAUGGUUUUUGACCGAGUGGUGAAAGCGGGCCUCUGUUCACAAGCUCGCGCUCUGGGAUGGGUCUGCGUCCCAUCAGCUAGUUGGUGAGGUAAUGGCUCACCAAGGCAUCGACGGGUAGCUGGUCUGAGAGGAUGAUCAGCCACACUGGAACUGAGACACGGUCCAGACUCCUACGGGAGGCAGCAGUGGGGAAUAUUGCGCAAUGGGCGAAAGCCUGACGCAGCCACGCCGCGUGAGCGAUGAAGGCCUUCGGUCGUAAGACUCUGUGGGAGGAGAAGAAUAAAGACCUGUGAAGAGCAGGCC